CCUUUUGUCAUAGAUGGAUUUGGCUUUUGCCCCAGUCUCUCCCACAGGCUCCAAAUCGCUCGCAAUUCACCUCUGCAGCGUAUCCAGACAUGCUAUGGCCCUGAAAUGGGCCAAUCGAAGCUAAGGAAACAUUAAAGAAGAGAAGAGGAGACACCAGUGGGCAAAGGAGAUGCACAGGAUCAGGGAGGAAGCUGUAUGCCUUGUUCAUCUCUGUUUACUCCUGCUGUCUCCCAUGCCGCAGACGGAAAGAACAAGAAGAGGGGCAGAGAAACGGAGAUGCUGGAGAGUUACACACCAAGCAUGGAAGGCUGAAAGAGAGAGAGUGAUGAAGACAUGCCAGUGGACACUGCGGUUUCGCAAGGGCAGGCAAUGGGGAAAGGGAGAGCAGCUCAAAUCCACUGUCACCCUGCGGCUCCAGGGAAUGUUGCUUGGGGAAAGGCACAGGGGAGAAAUCUCUGUUCGACACCCAGCUGAGAACAUUAUUGGAUCGGCCAGAUUAUGGGGAAGAAAGCUAAGAAAAAGAAGGUCCAAGCAAGACGGAUUUAGCUCUAUGGUGACUGUCAGUGACACGGUGGGAGUCUGCAAUGCUUAAUGCUCAUCAGGAGCUCCCACGUUGGAGUUUCACCCAUCCCAAGGGCACGCUGCUUGCUUUGGGAUGACAUGGGAUUACAGGCGGUCCAGUCUCAGCGGAGCCUCAGGUUGGCAGGAUAUUAAUUAAGUAAUUAUCAUGCCGUGAGGCGCAGCUAUGAAUUAUGCAUGAGGUCUUGAUUGGGACAUUUGUGAUUGUGUAAUCUAAUUUCAGCCAUAUGUCUGACGCCUUUAGCUGAGUGUCUAACAUCUGAGAGCGCCCAAGCACAAAUACAUACAAAUACAUUUUCAGGUUUUCAAUUAUAUAUUUAAAAUUCUAACAUAUUCAAAUACAGAAGGUUUUCUUUUGCACUGUGGACACACACUCAUCAUCAUAAAGAUUAUCGGAAAGACCGGAAUACCAAUAUAUUAUUGAUUUUUACUAAUAUAGGAAAGACUAGUCAGACUUUUUUACUCUAAUACAAAAUACUGUAGCACUGAUAUAUAAUAGAAUAUUUCUCAGGGUAUGUUCCUCAAUGCUGGUGAUAUAAGUAUGUAUAUAUCAACUGGCCCUGGCCUCCUCAUAACAUAUAUAGAUACAGUUAUGCUACUGCUGUUCUGAAACAUCAUCCAACAAAUAUUCCUAUUGACUAAUUUACAUACCUCUUUUGAAAUUUAACAGAAUAAAUUUGUCAAACAAAUUUGUUGGAAACA
ensembl:lncRNA